GAAAAAAUUAACGUCUCCUCCUAUUAUUAAGGUCAUGUUGUUCAAAAUCCCAUACCAAUUUUGACCUCCUUUAUUUCCUACUCCACACUUCAAAAUGCAUAUAUUUUGUUUUGAAGAACGAUUCUGAAACUUCUGCGCAUUUUCUUAGUCUUGAAUGGCUAAAGAGAAAAGAUUGCUUUUUUUGGAAAGGCUUCUGGAACAGAUCAGUGG
rnacentral:misc_RNA from 1 species